GGUUCUAAGGUGUUACUCAACAUAUCUGAUUGCAAACCAGAAGUAGCCCGGAGGGCUAGGACCU
rnacentral:tRNA from 1 species